GGUUAAGCGACUAAGCGUACACGGUGGAUGCCCUGGCAGUCAGAGGCGAUGAAGGACGUGCUAAUCUGCGAUAAGCGUCGGUGAGGUGAUAUGAACCGUUAUAACCGGCGAUUUCCGAAUGGGGAAACCCAGUGUGUUUCGACACACUAUCAUUAACUGAAUCCAUAGGUUAAUGAGGCGAACCGGGGGAACUGAAACAUCUAAGUACCCCGAGGAAAAGAAAUCAACCGAGAUUCCCCCAGUAGCGGCGAGCGAACGGGGAGGAGCCCAGAGCCUGAAUCAGUGUGUGUGUUAGUGGAAGCGUCUGGAAAGGCGUGCGAUACAGGGUGACAGCCCCGUACACAAAAAUGCACAUAUUGUGAGCUCGAUGAGUAGGGCGGGACACGUGGUAUCCUGUCUGAAUAUGGGGGGACCAUCCUCCAAGGCUAAAUACUCCUGACUGACCGAUAGUGAACCAGUACCGUGAGGGAAAGGCGAAAAGAACCCCGGCGAGGGGAGUGAAAAAGAACCUGAAACCGUGUACGUACAAGCAGUGGGAGCCUCUUAAUGGGGUGACUGCGUACCUUUUGUAUAAUGGGUCAGCGACUUAUAUUCUGUAGCAAGGUUAACCGAAUAGGGGAGCCGAAGGGAAACCGAGUCUUAACUGGGCGUUAAGUUGCAGGGUAUAGACCCGAAACCCGGUGAUCUAGCCAUGGGCAGGUUGAAGGUUGGGUAACACUAACUGGAGGACCGAACCGACUAAUGUUGAAAAAUUAGCGGAUGACUUGUGGCUGGGGGUGAAAGGCCAAUCAAACCGGGAGAUAGCUGGUUCUCCCCGAAAGCUAUUUAGGUAGCGCCUCGUGAAUUCAUCUCCGGGGGUAGAGCACUGUUUCGGCAAGGGGGUCAUCCCGACUUACCAACCCGAUGCAAACUGCGAAUACCGGAGAAUGUUAUCACGGGAGACACACGGCGGGUGCUAACGUCCGUCGUGAAGAGGGAAACAACCCAGACCGCCAGCUAAGGUCCCAAAGUCAUGGUUAAGUGGGAAACGAUGUGGGAAGGCCCAGACAGCCAGGAUGUUGGCUUAGAAGCAGCCAUCAUUUAAAGAAAGCGUAAUAGCUCACUGGUCGAGUCGGCCUGCGCGGAAGAUGUAACGGGGCUAAACCAUGCACCGAAGCUGCGGCAGCGACACUAUGUGUUGUUGGGUAGGGGAGCGUUCUGUAAGCCUGUGAAGGUGGCCUGUGAGGGUUGCUGGAGGUAUCAGAAGUGCGAAUGCUGACAUAAGUAACGAUAAAGCGGGUGAAAAGCCCGCUCGCCGGAAGACCAAGGGUUCCUGUCCAACGUUAAUCGGGGCAGGGUGAGUCGACCCCUAAGGCGAGGCCGAAAGGCGUAGUCGAUGGGAAACAGGUUAAUAUUCCUGUACUUGGUGUUACUGCGAAGGGGGGACGGAGAAGGCUAUGUUGGCCGGGCGACGGUUGUCCCGGUUUAAGCGUGUAGGCUGGUUUUCCAGGCAAAUCCGGAAAACCAAGGCUGAGGCGUGAUGACGAGGCACUACGGUGCUGAAGCGACAAAUGCCCUGCUUCCAGGAAAAGCCUCUAAGCAUCAGGUAACAUCAAAUCGUACCCCAAACCGACACAGGUGGUCAGGUAGAGAAUACCAAGGCGCUUGAGAGAACUCGGGUGAAGGAACUAGGCAAAAUGGUGCCGUAACUUCGGGAGAAGGCACGCUGAUAUGUAGGUGAAGCGACUUGCUCGUGGAGCUGAAAUCAGUCGAAGAUACCAGCUGGCUGCAACUGUUUAUUAAAAACACAGCACUGUGCAAACACGAAAGUGGACGUAUACGGUGUGACGCCUGCCCGGUGCCGGAAGGUUAAUUGAUGGGGUUAGCGGCAACGCGAAGCUCUUGAUCGAAGCCCCGGUAAACGGCGGCCGUAACUAUAACGGUCCUAAGGUAGCGAAAUUCCUUGUCGGGUAAGUUCCGACCUGCACGAAUGGCGUAAUGAUGGCCAGGCUGUCUCCACCCGAGACUCAGUGAAAUUGAACUCGCUGUGAAGAUGCAGUGUACCCGCGGCAAGACGGAAAGACCCCGUGAACCUUUACUAUAGCUUGACACUGAACAUUGAGCCUUGAUGUGUAGGAUAGGUGGGAGGCUUUGAAGUGUGGACGCCAGUCUGCAUGGAGCCGACCUUGAAAUACCACCCUUUAAUGUUUGAUGUUCUAACGUUGGCCCGUAAUCCGGGUUGCGGACAGUGUCUGGUGGGUAGUUUGACUGGGGCGGUCUCCUCCUAAAGAGUAACGGAGGAGCACGAAGGUUGGCUAAUCCUGGUCGGACAUCAGGAGGUUAGUGCAAUGGCAUAAGCCAGCUUGACUGCGAGCGUGACGGCGCGAGCAGGUGCGAAAGCAGGUCAUAGUGAUCCGGUGGUUCUGAAUGGAAGGGCCAUCGCUCAACGGAUAAAAGGUACUCCGGGGAUAACAGGCUGAUACCGCCCAAGAGUUCAUAUCGACGGCGGUGUUUGGCACCUCGAUGUCGGCUCAUCACAUCCUGGGGCUGAAGUAGGUCCCAAGGGUAUGGCUGUUCGCCAUUUAAAGUGGUACGCGAGCUGGGUUUAGAACGUCGUGAGACAGUUCGGUCCCUAUCUGCCGUGGGCGCUGGAGAACUGAGGGGGGCUGCUCCUAGUACGAGAGGACCGGAGUGGACGCAUCACUGGUGUUCGGGUUGUCAUGCCAAUGGCACUGCCCGGUAGCUAAAUGCGGAAGAGAUAAGUGCUGAAAGCAUCUAAGCACGAAACUUGCCCCGAGAUG
rnacentral:rRNA from 1 species